ensembl:snoRNA
ACUGCCCCUAUAGGCGUUGCAAAGGUGGCUGCUGUGCCAUCUUUGUGUCAUCAGGUGGCAGAGAGAAACAGGCUAUGUCUACGCUCAGUGUUCUGAAACCCGUGAGCACUCAGAAUGAUUAAUAGCCUGACAUCA